ACAAGCCUCCUUUGCAUACGUGAUACUUCGGAGCAUUCCUCGGUGAAUAAGUACAAUAUAAUCUCGAGGCAUUCCCAGCGAAUGAAUACAUCUUCAAAUCUUGCGCGAUAAAAUAGAAAGAACUAUUCACAUGCACAUUCAAACAUUCAACAAAACACCAUUCCUCAAAUUUGCCUACCCGACUUAGCAUUUUCCUACUAGAUUCGGUUUAUCACAAUUCCAACAAAUUCAAUAUAAUUGAAGAUCCAAAAAAUUAGCAUGAAUUCACUUCAUCAUGUUUAACCCCUCCCAAAAUUCCUUUUAACACAUGAAAAUAGUUAUCAAGCCAUAUCAACAUCGAUUUCAUACUAACAACUAGCUAUUCAAAUAAACAGCACCAAGUAUCAAUAAAAUUCUCAAUCAGUCAUCGUCAAAUACAUAAUGAUAAUAAGAGAGUAGAGUCGAGAAUUGGACCUCAAAAGUUUUUGAUUAACUUAAAAAGAAAGAGGAGGGCCACUCCGAGAACCUCGACGAACACUAAAAUCUCAACUAUGAAUCAAUUCGAGCACAAAAAUUCCUUGAAAUCCAAUUCGAAAAGAGAACCCAUGAAGGACAGUGAACGAACUCUAACUUGGUAUUGAGAAACGGAGACCCGAAACAGACCACAAUGAACCCACCUAGAUAAACAAUGUUCCCACCACUCCGAUAAGCUCGGACAGCAGCGGAUAUCGAUGAACAAGGCAGAUUCCGAUGAUUUUAACAUUCUCAGGCUGAAUUCAUCUGUGGAAAGCGACAACGACAAGCACAGCCCGUUCCGAAAAACUUUAGUCUGUUUUGACGUUCUCCGGCGACAAACUGACGCGACCUCUACCUCUCCUUUCGAUUCUCACCUCUAUCUCUCACUCAAUUUCACCCUCUCUUCCCCUUCGAUUCUCCAAUCUCUCUCAAAUCUGUGUGUUUUAGGUGUGUGUAUAUCAGUGUCCUGUGAGAAAGAAAAAAUGAAGUCUCUGGUAGCGUGUGUACCAGUGAAGAUGAUCGUGUGAGUAUGAAAAUGGAGGGUGUGUAUGUGAUGUGCGUGAUUUGGUUGUGUGCCUAAGAUGAUGAAGAAACAGCCAAAAAGAAAAUCAGCAAGAAAAACCCGAUCCCCCCUAUAUCCGUGCACUGUGUGUAUAUAAAUACCCAAAAGGAAAAUGUUUUUUCUCUUAGUGGUAGGGCCCCCCUUCCCUUUUUUUUGUAUGUGUAUAUCAAUGGAAAGUGAGGUGUGUGAGUGAAGGGAAAUCAGUCCCCC
rnacentral:lncRNA from 1 species